AAGGCUCUAGGCCCGCGCGCGUGUCUGUCCGGCAGGGCCGCCGCUGCCGUCUCCGGAGCCUGAGGUCCCCGAAGGCCGGGCCCCCGCUCCCCGGACCCGGCGUGGGGGCUGCGCCGACCCCGGAGGACUGGGUUGCAGAUGGGUGUGGGGUCGGCAGUGUGUGAUCAGAUCAGCAGCAGAGCGUUCGAGGGAUGAGCACUGGCCUGCCUUGAGGUUUUGUGUGCUGAGGUGCUCAAGAAUGGUGGUCUGCGGUGUGGAGUUUGAAAGCUGGAGGCGGCAGCCCUUUAGCUUGAGGAGAGGCUAUUUUCCCAGAGAAAGGUCAGCCAUGCUGCAGCAGGGAAAGAACUUGACGUUUCGAGGACCAGUGGUCACCAUACCAUCAGUUUGGACUGAAAACCCAGGCUUCAACAGUGGGUGUGGAAACAAUGCUUAACUUGUGUUGAGGUUCCGAGGCCAUUCUCUUACCAGCAGAGCCAACAAACGUGUUUGGCAAACUUGCUAGGAUACUAUGCUAGGAUAGGCACUGUUGGUGUCAUUGAAUUCAUGAGCUUUCUAGUAAUGUAUUGUGUUGUAUUUUUAGCUCCCCUGCCCAAAGAGAGCUUCUAUACC